AACGAACGCUGGCGGCAGGCUUAACACAUGCAAGUCGAACGCCCCGCCAGGGGAGUGGCAGACGGGUGAGUAACGCGUGGGAACAUACCCUUUUCUACGGAAUAGCUCUGGGAAACUGGAAUUAAUACCGUAUACGCCCUACGGGGGAAAGAUUUAUCGGGGAAGGAUUGGCCCGCGUUGGAUUAGCUAGUUGGUGGGGUAAAGGCCUACCAAGGCGACGAUCCAUAGCUGGUCUGAGAGGAUGAUCAGCCACAUUGGGACUGAGACACGGCCCAAACUCCUACGGGAGGCAGCAGUGGGGAAUAUUGGACAAUGGGCGCAGGCCUGAUCCAGCCAUGCCGCGUGAGUGAUGAAGGCCUUAGGGUUGUAAAGCUCUUUCACCGAUGAAGAUAAUGACGGUAGUCGGAGAAGAAGCCCCGGCUAACUUCGUG
rnacentral:rRNA from 1 species